UACGAAUGGGGCAAGCGUUGUUCGGAAUAACUGGGCUUAAAGCGUGCGCAGGCGGCCAAGCAAGUCAGAAGUGAAAUCCCCGGGCUCAACCCGGGAAUUGCUUUUGAAACUGCAUGGCUAGAAUCCUGGAGAGGUCGGGAGAAUUCCUAGUGUAGAGGUGAAAUUCGCAGAUAUUAGGAGGAAUACCAGUGGCGUAGGCGCCCGACUGGACAGGUAUUGACGCUCAGGCACGAAAGCGUGGGGAGCAAACAGG
rnacentral:rRNA from 1 species